rnacentral:rRNA from 1 species
CCUACGGGAGGCAGCAGUGAGGAAUAUUGGUCAAUGGCCGGAAGGCUGAACCAGCCAUGCCGCGUGAAGGUCAGUGCCCUUUGGGCGUUAAACUUCUUUUGUGCGGGAGCAAUAAUGGUCACGUGUGGCCAGACGAGAGUACCGUACGAAUAAGCAUCGGCUAACUCCGUGCCAGCAGCAGCGGUAAUACGGGGGAUGCAAGCGUUAUCCGGAUUUAUUGGGGUUGAAGGGUGAGUAGGCUGUGAGGUAAGUCAGCGGUGAAAUGCCCCCGCUCAACGGGGUGAAGUGCCAUUGAUACUGCCUUGCUGGAAUGCGGAUGACGUGGGAGGAAUGUGUGGUGUAGCGGUGAAAUGCAGAGAUAUCACACAGAACACCGAUUGCGAAGGCAUCUCACGAAUCCGCGAUUGACGCUGAUGCACGAAAGCGUGGGUAUCAAACAGGAUUAGAUACCCUAGUAGUC